UCAGAUCAUUGCAAAUAUACGACUUCUAAAAAAAGAUUUAAAAAUUUGCAUUUUUAUGUAUAAGGCUUACGAAUUAGAAGCUAGAGGAAUGAGGUUUGAGUCGGGUUUUCUGAAAUUAGUUGUAACAAAAUCAAUCUCAUUUAUUCAUUUUCUCCUGAUCACUGUCGCAACGGAGGAACACUACGACGGCGGACGACGUCAAUGGGAUCAGAAGUAAGAUCUACUAAUUGCUUCGGAGUUUAUGACGAUGACGGACCACAUUGGAGUUGACAGCGCCGAAGUUGAUGGUGAUGACGGAGAUGUCGUAGCAUAUGGAGAUGGAGAGUUGGAUGCUUCUGAUGUUGGUGGAGGAGUGGUGGUAGGUGGAGGCGACGACGCGACGUUGAGUUAGUGGAUGUGAUGAUUUUUGUGAGACAGAUGCUAGUAGUGAUGGAGGUGAAGUUGCUGGAAGUUGCAGCUCUUUAUUGUUGUUUUUAAUUGGUUGCUUUUAGUUAAUUUUAUGGUUGUUUUUAAUUCAUUGUUGUAUUAGUAUUGGCCUCGUAGGGGCACUCAUACUCAUUUUUCAUCCGUUGCGAUCACUUGCAACUUAUUACGCAAAUAAUUAUAAUCUUUAACAGAUUAUUUUAAAAGUUGCAUUUUUGGUUGCA